rnacentral:rRNA from 1 species
AGAGUUUGAUCCUGGCUCAGAACGAACGCUGGCGGCAGGCCUUAUACAUGCAAGUCGAGCGCAUCCUUCGGGAUGAACGGCGGACGGGUGAGUAACGCGUGGGAAUGUGCCCUUCUCUACGGAAUAGCCACUGGAAACGGUGAGUAAUACCGUAUACGCCCUCAGGGGGAAAGAUUUAUCGGAGAAGGAUCAGCCCGCGUUAGAUUAGGUAGUUGGUGGGGUAAUGGCCUACCAAGCCUACGAUCUAUAGCUGGUUUUAGAGGAUGAUCAGCCACACUGGGACUGAGACACGGCCCAGACUCCUACGGGAGGCAGCAGUAGGGAAUCUUGGACAAUGGGGGAAACCCUGAUCCAGCCAUGCCGCGUGAGUGAAGAAGGCCCUAGGGUCGUAAAGCUCUUUCGCCUGUGAUGAUAAUGACAGUAGCAGGUAAAGAAACCCCGGCUAACUUCGUGCCAGCAGCCGCGGUAAUUC